rnacentral:rRNA from 1 species
GACGAACGCUGGCGGCGUGCUUAACACAUGCAAGUCGAACGGUGAAGCUCCAGCUUGCUGGAGUGGAUCAGUGGCGAACGGGUGAGUAACACGUGAGCAACCUGCCCCUGACUCUGGAAUAAGCGCUGGAAACGGCGUCUAAUACUGGAUACGAGAAGGGUCCGCAUGGGCACUUUCUGGAAAGUUUUUCGGUUGGGGAUGGGCUCGCGGCCUAUCAGCUUGUUGGUGAGGUAAUGGCUCACCAAGGCGACGACGGGUAGCCGGCCUGAGAGGGCGACCGGCCACACUGGGACUGAGACACGGCCCAGACUCCUACGGGAGGCAGCAGUGGGGAAUAUUGCGCAAUGGGCGAAAGCCUGAUGCAGCGACGCCGCGUGAGGGAUGACGGCCUUCGGGUUGUAAACCUCUUUCAGCAGGGAAGAAGCGAAAGUGACGGUACCUGCAGAAGAAGCACCGGCUAACUACGUG